AUCUGCUGCGGGCUGAUAAAAUGGAUAUGGGUAUCGAUGCCUCCCGCCGUUACGAUCAUCCCCUCGCCUGCCAGCGCUUCUGUGGACGCUCCCACGGUCAUUCCCGGAGUGACCCCAUCCAUGAUGGCCGGAUUUCCGGCUUUGCCGAUCCCUUUGAUUUUUCCGGCUUUGAUUCCGAUAUCCGCCUUCACGAUUCCGGUAUAGUCCACGAUCAGGGCAUUGGUGAUGACCAGAUCCAGAUCCCCGUCGCUGCUGCAGGUCUUCACGGACUGGCCCAUGCCGUCCCG
rnacentral:sRNA from 1 species